rnacentral:misc_RNA from 1 species
UGUUCGAGCGUCAUUACAAUCCUCAAGCACUGCUUGGCAUUGGGUAUCACCUAUCUAGGUGUGCUUUAAAAUUAGUGGUGGUGCCAUCUGACUUCAAGCGUAGUAGUUUUCUCACUUUGGAGACUAGAUGAGUGCCUACCAACAGCCUUAAACUUUCAAAAAUUGACCUCGGAUCAGGUAGGGAUACCCGCUGAACUUAA